UCGGCCCCCCAAAGUGCUGAGAUUACAGGCGUCAGCCACUGCAUCUGGCCCAAAAUGUCCUUAUUUCAAAAGAAUACCAUGAGGAUUCAAAUUAAUACAUGUAAAGGUCUUAGAAUUGUGCAUGGCACAUAGUUAACUUUGAGUAAAUGUCUGGUUUAUUGUUCUUACUAGUAGACCAUGGCUCAGCUUGUGUCUCGGAGCCUUCUCUAUGGCUUACAAGGGCCUGCAGGGUUUUCUCAGCUUCACCUAGGGCCAGGCUGCUUCAUUCCUCACAUGCCAUGUUCUGUUCAGACUCAGGACCUUUGCCCACACUGGUGCUUCUACCAAGCUCUGUCCCACUUAUCUCUGAGGUCUUAAUCCACAGGUCACUUUCUCAAGGAGCCUAGCUGCUCACUUCUUCCCCCAUCUGACCAUGGGCUCUGUCCCCUAGGCCUUGCCCAGUGCUGGGUCCAGAGAAGGUGCUGAAGAGUCUGGCUGAGUGUUGGACAGAGAGGAGGGAAGAGAAGAAAGGCCAGUUCCCACUCUCUUCAUCCCUUUCCUCACUGCCUGGCAAAACUAGAAAGAGGCCCCAAUAUAGCAGGUGAUUAUGCAAGGUGUCCAGUAUUCUCCAGACACUUUCUCUCAGGAUAAGGAAAGGGGACAGGAAGCUUAUGGGAAAGUUCUAGAAAAGGCAUCUUUUGCACUGUGCUGAGGCAACAGGCAGGAAUGGGGUAGCAAUCUCCAAAAACUAGGACUUCUUUCUGAGGUCUUUGACCCCAAGUGCUCCAUAGUCCAAAGCAGCUUCUCCUUCCUCCUCUCCACCCAAAGCUAUGGCGACUCCCUUGUCUGAUGCAGAUCAGUGCUGGAUGCUGUGGGGAAGAGAGUACUGGGCUGACAGUCAGUGGAUGUGGAUUUUGUUUCCCAGUUCCAUCGCUGAUUUGCAGGUGAGUCCUUUCCCCUGCCUGAGACUCUGGGAAAGUAUGGGCCUUUCCCCAACUGUCAAAUGAAGUGGGAAUCAUCUCAAAGGGCUCCGUCUAGGGCUACAGCAUAAGGAGAAUGAAAGUAACUCAUGCAGACAGAUGAGUGACUACCAGGGUUCUCUCUCUCAGGGGUAUCCAAAAGAUCCAGUAAUUAGUGUGUAAAUUGAGAAGCAACAUUCUGAAGUAGGAGAACUUGUUGCCACAAAGGAGUCUGAUCCUUCUCCACCUCAAAGCCCGCUGGGCAUUGCUCUGAACCUGCAGGAUUCCAGGGGAAGAGAGCAAUAGGCACAUCUAUGACCAGGCAGACUCCUGGGCAAGGCUAGAUCUUUCCACGCUCUAGCUCCUGUGGCCUCGACCUCUUCACCCCAGCACCGCCUCCAACUAGUCCAGACAAGUCCCAAGUAUUUUCAGCCACCUUUAUCUGAUCAGAAAUGUUUGGAAUUCCACAGCAGAAGGCAACAGCUCUGGAGGAUUUGGGGAAGGGAGCAAAUCCCUGCAACACCCUUCUCUCCCCACUGUACAGAUGAAUGCUCACACCCCAUGUAACCAAAAACUCAGGGCUGAAGGCACCCACGGUGUUGCAUUUCCUUCUAUUCUGUGAUGUGAUGGAACUGGGAAACAAAACCCACAUCCACUGACUGUCAGCCUCAUACUCUUCUCUGCAGCAUCCAACAUUGAUCUGCACCAGACAAGGGAGUGGGUUCCUUCUUGUUUUCUACCCUAUUCAUUUCUGCCCCAGUCCAUUACCCCUUUAAGGUGCAGAACAGUAAGAUGCCUGAGAUGGUGAGAAGAGGGCUAGGGUACUUUGCCUGAUGUCGAGGGAGGGGGCACCCAGAGGUGUGCUGUUCACAGUCAAUACCCAGAGCACCACCACCAGGAGGCCUGGAAGCAACUCACUGUCCCACUUGAUGUGGCCUGUGGACCACCAGAAAUUUCAGAGCGUCACAGAGAUGUGUGGUUCGAUCCUGAGCAGACAUGGAUGGUCACAAAGGUGAAUUCACUUGCUCAAGAUCCAACACACACAAAAUGGAGGUGGUUCAAACCCAGGUGUGUCUGACUGCAGAGCCUGUGUUCUUCCCAGUAGAGAUGUGGAUGCAGCACAAAUGGUAGAAAGGACCUGAGACUUAGUCAGAAGACCUCAGUUCACCCAAGGUAUCUGCUAUGCCCAAGGCCUCUGCUCAGUGCUGAGGAAACAAGCAUGGACAAGAUGUGGCCUCCACCCUGAGGAGCUCCUAAAUCUAGGACAGAGUAAAUCUGUUAGAAAUGUCUUCUCUGCACAUAAUUUAAGCUCUACCAACUGUUAACUUCUUUUCAUUUAUCCAAGUUUUGCCAGGUACCACACCAAUAAAAAAAGACUCAGUCCCUCUUCCUUCAGA
rnacentral:lncRNA from 1 species